AAGUCGUAACAAGGUUUCCGUAGGUGAACCUGCGGAAGGAUCAUUAAUGAUUUUAGCUAACCAUGGUUAUUUUAGCCAUGGUUAUGCGAAAUUUUGUAUUUAAAACCCCACUCUUUAUAAUAAAAAUUUAUUAUAUUUAUGAUAAAAAUAAGAUCACUUUCAACAACGGAUCUCUUGGCUCUC
rnacentral:misc_RNA from 1 species